rnacentral:rRNA from 1 species
UACGUAGGGCGCAAGCGUUGUCCGGAAUUAUUGGGCGUAAAGAGCUCGUAGGUGGUCUGUCGCGUCUGCCGUGAAAACCCGAGGCUUAACCUCGGGCCUGCGGUGGAUACGGGCAGACUAGAGGUAGGUAGGGGAGAACGGAAUUCCCGGUGUAGCGGUGAAAUGCGCAGAUAUCGGGAGGAACACCGGUGGCGAAGGCGGUUCUCUGGGCCUUACCUGACGCUGAGGAGCGAAAGCGUGGGGAGCGAACAGG